rnacentral:lncRNA from 1 species
GUUAAGAUUCCAAGGGUGUCAGGUGGGACUGAAUUUGGUGCGAUGCUGUCCGUGAGUUUGCCUUCUUCCAACCCUGUGACACUUACCCUAAGGCCACUCAUACCAAACAACCGGCUUGGCCAGAUUCCACGUGGCGGGCGCUUGAGUGGACAGUGAGGGUUGCAGUCUCUCCUGUAGAAGUCUGCAUCCCCUGAAUCUGAGACUUCCUUUAGAUUUUACAUAUAGAAAGUGGAAGACAGGAGAAAGAAAAACUCCCGUUGAUCAUGCAGUAUGUGCCAGAUAAAGCCAACUCUGAAGAACUUGAUCUUUCCUGCUUAUACUGGUUAGAAUCUGGAAAUCUGGAAAUGGAGCUAUUGGAAUUUCAAGAAAGCUCUACCUGGGAAAAUAAAUUCUAUGACCUGUGUGAAAAGAUAGAGUGUGAACGGGUAACAAAGGACAACACAGUGGGUAGUUCUGAAAAUGAAAUCAUUAAAGUGUGGAAUUUUCUGCCAAAUAAUUUUAAGUUAAUAAAAGCACUUGGGAUUGCUCUUCUUACUUUGUUUGGAUCAUCUUAUGCUUGUGAGCAGCUGUGUUCAGCUUUGAAUUCUAUCAAAUCUGAUAAUGGGAAACAGACUAACAGAUGACCUAAACAAUGCAUGUGUUGCUUGCACACUAACGAAGUGUGAGCCAAGAUUUGACACAUUAUCAGCGUGCAGGGCCAGGGAUUUAGCUCAGUGGUUCCGCCACCUGCCCCACAAAUGCAAGGACUGGAGCUUGAUCCCUGGUACAAAAAAAAAAAAAAAAAAUUAUCAGCAUGCAACACCAAAAUCACAUUAAUUGUGCACCAGCAUGCCAAAUGCAAAUUCUACCUUUCAAUAAAAGGCUGCUUGUUUCAUUGAAAACUCUGUUACUAUGGGUUUUUUUUUUUUUUGGUACUGGGGAUUGAACUCGGGACCUUGUGGUUACAAGGCA